rnacentral:rRNA from 1 species
UACAGAGGUCUCAAGCGUUGUUCGGAUUCAUUGGGCGUAAAGGGUGCGUAGGUGGCGGGGUAAGUCAGGUGUGAAAUUUCGGAGCUUAACUCCGAAACUGCAUUUGAUACUGCCUUGCUUGAGGACUGGAGAGGAGAUUGGAAUUCACGGUGUAGCAGUGAAAUGCGCAGAUAUCAGGAGGAACACCGGUGGCGAAGGCGGAUCUCUGGGCCUUACCUGACGCUGAGGCGCGAAAGCUAGGGGAGCAAACAGG